UCGGGCGUCGUCCAAAGGCAGGACAGCGGACUUUGGAUCCGCGAAUGUUGGUUCGAUUCCAGCCGCCCGAA
rnacentral:tRNA from 1 species